GCCGGGGUUGCCGAGCUGGAACGGCGCUGGCCUGGAGAGCCAGUGGCGAUUACGCCUCGCGGGUUCGAGUCCCGCCCCCGGCA
rnacentral:tRNA from 1 species